rnacentral:rRNA from 1 species
UAAGAUCAAAGUACAACUAAGCUGUCAUAAGCCCAAGAUGUGCCUAAGACCCCCCUUAAAAACGAUCUUAGCGGCUUUUGAUCAAUUUAAUUCCACGAAAGCUAAGACACAAACUGGGAUUAGAUACCCCACUAUGCUUAGCCCUAAAUCUUGAUGCUCUCCUGUACCAAGCAUCCGCCCGAGAACUACGAGCACAAACGCUUAAAACUCUAAGGACUUGGCGGUGCCCUAAACCCACCUAGAGGAGCCUGUUCUGUAAUCGAUAACCCACGUUACACCCGACCACCCCUUGCCAAAACAGCCUACAUACCGCCGUCGCCAGCUCACCUCCCCUGAGAGUCCAACAGUGAGCACAAUAGCCUAAACCCGCUAAUAAGACAGGUCGAGGUAUAGCCUACGGGGUGGAAGAAAUGGGCUACAUUUUCUAGAAUAGAAAACCCACGGAAGGGGGCAUGAAAUCGGCCCCCCAAAGGCGGAUUUAGUAGUAAAGUAGGACAAUAUAAGCCUCCUUUAAAUCGGCCCUGGGGCACGUACAUACCGCCCGUCACCCUCC